CCUAGAGCAGUGACCCCAGGUAUAAAGGCCCUAGAGCAGUGACCCCAGGUAUAAAGGCCCUAUAGAGCAGUGACCCCAGUGACCCCAGGUAUAAAGACCCUAGAGCAGUGACCCCAGGUAUAAAGGCCCUAGAGCAGUGACCCCAGGUAUAAAGGCCCUAGAGCAGUGACCCCAGGUAUAAAGGCCCUAGAGCAGUGACCCCAGGUAUAAAGGCCCUAGAGCAGUGACCCCAGGUAUAAAGGCCCUAUAGAGCAGUGACCCCAGUGACCCCAGGUAUAAAGACCCUAGAGCAGUGACCCCAGGUAUAAAGGCCCUAGAGCAGUGACCCCAGGUAUAAAGGCCCUAGAGCAGUGACCCCAGGUAUAAAGACCCUAGAGCAGUGACCCCAGGUAUAAAGGCCCUAGAGCAGUGACCCCAGGUAUAAAGGCCCUAUAGAGCAGUGACCCCAGUGACCCCAGGUAUAAAGGCCCACAUUUCACGGGGUCACUUCAGUCCCAAACCAAUCUUUUUCUUCUUCUUUUCUAAC